rnacentral:rRNA from 1 species
GUAGUUUGAUCGUGGCUCAGAUUGAACGCUGGCGGCAUGCCUUACACAUGCAAGUCGAACGGCAGCGUGAUCUAGCUUGCUAGAUUGAUGGCGAGUGGCGAAUGGGUGAGUAAUACAUCGGGAACGUGCCCUGUAGUGGGGGAUAACUAGUCGAAAGAUUAGCUAAUACCGCAUACGACCUGAGGGUGAAAGUGGGGGACCGCAAGGCCUCAUGCUAUAGGAGCGGCCGAUGUCUGAUUAGCUAGUUGGUGGGGUAAAGGCCCGACCAAGGCGACGAUCAGUAGCUGGUCUGAGAGGACGAUCAGCCACACUGGGACUGAGACACGGCCCAGACUCCUACGGGAGGCAGCAGUGGGGAAUUUUGGGACAAUGGGCGAAAGCCUGAUCCAGCAAUGCCGCGUGUGUGAAGAAGGCCUGGUGU